UAGUGAUAGCUGGUUGUUCAGGAAAAGAGUCUCAGCUCUACCUUAAGUCUCUUUAUUACUAAAACAAACCCCAAGACUUAAGAGCUAUUCAAAUAAGGAACAGCUUAUUUGAAAUAGGAUUCAACCUCUUACACAGGGUAAACAAGAACAGACUAAGUAAAGUGGGCCUAAGAGCAGCCAUCUUAUAAAAAGCGUUAAAGCUUAACUUUUCUUUAUAUUAAUUCCAACUAUUCCAUCAACCCCUCACCUCUACUGAACUAUUUUAUAACCCUAUAAAAACUAUUAUGCUAGAACUAGUAACAUGAAAGCACCUUUCUCCUAAUGUAAACUUAAACCAUUACGGAUUGUCCACUGGUAUUUAACGUACUUACCCUAAUUAUAGCAACUUUCAACCAGAAAACCCUAUUAUCCAACGUCAACCUUACACUAGAACAUUACAGGAAAGAUUAAAAGAAAGAGAAGGAACUCGGCAAACUCAGCCCAGCCUGUUUACCAAAAACAUCGCCUCUUGCUUAAAAUAAGAGGUCCAGCCUGCCCAGUGACAUAGUUCAACGGCCGCGGUACCCUAACCGUGCGAAGGUAGCAUAAUCACUUGUUCUCUAAAUAGGGACUAGUAUCAACGGCACCACGAGGGCUACACUGUCUCCUCUCUCCAAUCAGUGAAACUGAUCUCCCCGUGAAGAAGCGGGGAUUUUUAUAUAAGACGAGAAGACCCCAUGGAGCUUCAAACUCAAUAUACACCUUUUCUUGCAACAACUAACCGUAAAGAUCUGUAUAUUAGUUUUAGGUUGGGGGGACCGCGGAGUAUAACUCAACCUCCACGACAAACGGGCCAACGCCCUUAUCUACGAAACACAUUUCUAAGAAUCAAUAAUCUGAUGUUUUAUGACCCGAUAAAUCGAUCAACGAACCAAGUUACCCUGGGGAUAACAGCGCAAUCUACUUCAAGAGCUCCUAUCGACAAGUGGGUUUACGACCUCGAUGUUGGAUCAGGGUAUCCUAGUGGUGCAGCCGCUACUAAACGUUCGCUUGUUCAACGAUUAAAACCCU
rnacentral:rRNA from 1 species